rnacentral:rRNA from 1 species
UCGGGAAUAUUGCGCAAUGGAGGAAACUCUGACGCAGUGACGCCGCGUGCAGGAAGAAGGUUUUCGGAUUGUAAACUGCUUUAGACAGGGAAGAAAAAGACAGUACCUGUAGAAUAAGCUCCGGCUAACUACGUGCCAGCAGCCGCGGUAAUACGUAGGGAGCAAGCGUUAUCCGGAUUUAUUGGGUGUAAAGGGUGCGUAGACGGGAAAACAAGUUAGUUGUGAAAUCCCUCGGCUUAACUGAGGAACUGCAACUAAAACUAUUUUUCUUGAGUGUUGGAGAGGAAAGUGGAAUUCCUAGUGUAGCGGUGAAAUGCGUAGAUAUUAGGAGGAACACCAGUGGCGAAGGCGACUUUCUGGACAAUAACUGACGUUGAGGCACGAAAGUGUGGGGAGCAAACAGGAUUAGAUACC